GAUGAAGAACGUAGCGAAAUGCGAUACGUAGUGUGAAUUGCAGAAUUCAGUGAAUCAUCGAAUCUUUGAACGCACAUUGCACCUCUCGGUAUUCCGGGAGGUAUGCCUGUUCGAGCGUCAUUAUAACCCCUCAAGCUUAGCUUGGUGUUGGGGCCUGCUGUAAUAGAGCAGCCCUUAAAAUCAGUGGCGGUGCCAUUAGGCUCUAAGCGUAGUAAUUCUUCUCGCUAUAGGGUUCUGGUGGAUGCUUGCCAUUAACCUCUAAUUUUCUAUGGUUGACCUCGGAUCAGGUAGGGAUACCCGCUGAACUUAAGCAUAUCAAUAAGCGGAGGA
rnacentral:misc_RNA from 1 species